rnacentral:rRNA from 1 species
AAAUUGAAGAGUUUGAUCAUGGCUCAGAUUGAACGCUGGCGGCAGGCCUAACACAUGCAAGUCGAACGGUAACAGGAAGCAGCUUGCUGCUUCGCUGACGAGUGGCGGACGGGUGAGUAAUGUCUGGGAAACUGCCUGAUGGAGGGGGAUAACUACUGGAAACGGUAGCUAAUACCGCAUAAUGUCGCAAGACCAAAGAGGGGGACCUUCGGGCCUCUUGCCAUCGGAUGUGCCCAGAUGGGAUUAGCUUGUUGGUGGGGUAACGGCUCACCAAGGCGACGAUCCCUAGCUGGUCUGAGAGGAUGACCAGCCACACUGGAACUGAGACACGGUCCAGACUCCUACGGGAGGCAGCAGUGGGGAAUAUUGCACAAUGGGCGCAAGCCUGAUGCAGCCAUGCCGCGUGUAUGAAGAAGGCCUUCGGGUUGUAAAGUACUUUCAGCGGGGAGGAAGGGAGUAAAGUUAAUACCUUUGCUCAUUGACGUUACCCGCAGAAGAAGCACCGGCUAACUCCGUGCCAGCAGCCGCGGUAAUACGGAGGGUGCAAGCGUUAAUCGGAAUUACUGGGCGUAAAGCGCACGCAGGCGGUUUGUUAAGUCAGAUGUGAAAUCCCCGGGCUCAACCUGGGAACUGCAUCUGAUACUGGCAAGCUUGAGUCUCGUAGAGGGGGGUAGAAUUCCAGGUGUAGCGGUGAAAUGCGUAGAGAUCUGGAGGAAUACCGGUGGCGAAGGCGGCCCCCUGGACGAAGACUGACGCUCAGGUGCGAAAGCGUGGGGAGCAAACAGGAUUAGAUACCCUGGUAGUCCACGCCGUAAACGAUGUCGACUUGGAGGUUGUGCCCUUGAGGCGUGGCUUCCGGAGCUAACGCGUUAAGUCGACCGCCUGGGGAGUACGGCCGCAAGGUUAAAACUCAAAUGAAUUGACGGGGGCCCGCACAAGCGGUGGAGCAUGUGGUUUAAUUCGAUGCAACGCGAAGAACCUUACCUGGUCUUGACAUCCACGGAAGUUUUCAGAGAUGAGAAUGUGCCUUCGGGAACCGUGAGACAGGUGCUGCAUGGCUGUCGUCAGCUCGUGUUGUGAAAUGUUGGGUUAAGUCCCGCAACGAGCGCAACCC